rnacentral:rRNA from 1 species
UACAGAGGUCUCAAGCGUUGUUCGGAUUCAUUGGGCGUAAAGGGCGCGUAGGCGGGUGCUCAAGUCCGGGGUGAAAUCCUCCAGCUCAACUGGAGAACUGCCUCGGAUACUGGGCGUCUCGAGUGUGGUAGGGGUAUGCGGAACUAUCGGUGGAGCGGUGAAAUGCGUUGAUAUCGAUAGGAACUCCGGUGGCGAAGGCGGCAUACUGGACCACUACUGACGCUGAUGCGCGAAAGCCAGGGGAGCAAACGGG